rnacentral:misc_RNA from 1 species
CUCUCUCUCUCUCUCUGUGUGUGCACGUGCGCGCGUGCAUGUUGCGGAUUUUAGAUUUUAUGAUACAUAAAUCAUCUUAAUCAUCUUUCAUUGGAAAUCCUAUGAUGUUGUAAUAUGUUUCAUGGGUGAUAAUAUUUUUCUGGCACUGGUGUAGCCGAAUGAGGACCAAAGAAGGGCAUUGCUGCCCCCUUAUUCCCCCAACAAAGGGAGAAAGAAUAGUACUUUCAGGGUUUCUGGCACCUUUAAAAAUGUUAGUCAUACUUGAUUUUUUUAUGCUAUAUGUUGGCCCCUUUGAAAGCUUUCUAAUUCCUUUCCAACAGUGAGUGGUGCUUGGUUUUAUUCUAUUGUUGCUUUGAUAUUGUGAAUCUAUGGGAUGUUGGGUAGCCAACUAUGUAUGGGAAAUGCUGUUAGUCUGUUACUGCUUGUUUUGCUUGUGACAUGCUGCUUGCUUUACCUAAAUGAAGAGUUGUUGAGUCUACUUGUUAUGCCUGAUUCUUUGUGGGAUUGAUCAGAUGGUUUGAUAGUAUCAAAUUAUGAUAGUCAUAUGGGAAUAGAUGGUAAUCAUGGUAUAAGAAAAGUUCUUAUCAGUUAUAUGUACUCUUUAAGUCGAAAUACAAUUUUAUAUUAUACCAAUUGUAUAUCAGUGAUGGAUGUUCCAAAGAAGGCAACGAAAGCCUCAAAACUCCUUGUAUAUUAUCAAUUCCUUAUAAAAGCAAUAUUUGGAGGGAAUUCAUGGAUUUAUGCAUAAAUGCAUGAUGGCAAAAAAUUCCCACUCUUAAUAUCAAUCUCAGACAACACUGAUUUCCAUGUACCUUUUCAAUUGUUAAGCUAUUUGAAUAUUUAUCAUAGUUUCUGUUUUUUCUUCUAUUGCUUAAUUAACAUAAAUUGGAAUAUUUUUAUAUGAAAAUAGUCUAAUUGUUGUACUAUUAUUGUACCAACCCAGCCAACAAAAGGGGGGAAAAUUAGUGGCUAGCUCUACAAUUAUCUGCUGGCGCACUGUUUUAUUUAGUCACUCUCUGACUUUCUGACUAACUAGUUACAUGGUCAAUGGUGUAGGUGAUAUGUUUCAUAUCUGAUACAUUAUACAUUGGUUUUUCAUUUAUGACACUGGGCAUUCUGAAAAACUUUGUAGAACUAUGUUGCAAUAUUUUGGGUAUAUUUUUUUUAUGCAGGUUUACUAGGGAUCA